UUUAUUGAUAUUUUUGGGUAGUUUAUUUUAAUAAGUAGGAAAUUAAAUAAAUAAAAAAAGAAAAUAAAGGAUAUGGAGAGAGGGUGGACGUGUAGUGUAAGAUAUUAGGGGAUUGUUUGAUAUUUUUUUUCCAUUUUUCUUUUAAGAGAAUAAAAAUUUAAUUGGAUGAGGAUAGACAUUUUGGGAAACUAUCAUUUGACUCCAAUCCUUUAUAAUAAAAGAAAAAUAAAAAGGAAUUAUGAGAAAAUAAAAUAGAAAAAGGAAACUUACCAUUUUGUGUUUGUGAGGCUUUAUUGAGAGAGUUGAAUAAAGGGGAAAGGAAAGGAAGAGAAGGCAUUCUUCCUUGUGGCUGUCAUGACCUAGAGAGAGAGAGAGAGAUAGAGAGAGAGAGGGUGGUGUGUAGAGAGAGAGGGAGAAGAAGAAAGAAAGGAAGAAAGAAGAAGAAGGUGAAGAGGAACCCAUUUUAGAGCUUGAACAAGGGGUGUGAAGUUUGGGUGUUGAUCAUAUUGUGUUCUUGAUUUUACAAUCAAGAGAGGCUCGUUGAAAGAUUGUGAAAAUUUCUUAGCUUGGACCUGAGGUAGCAAAUAGGAUUUCUUUAUGGCACGCGUGGUGACGUGAGGAGUUCUAUCAUCAUGGGGUGUAUGGCGUGGGGUAAUCCUAUGGAUGGAAAAACGAUCAUCGUAGAACGCCAUUUAAAUUAUGUUUUGUUAUAAGAGACUUUUCCUAAAUUUUCAGUGGG